GAACUUACAUAUUAUUAAUUCAUACAUAAAAGUUAAUUUUGUAUUUAUUUAAAAACAUAAAAUUUUAAUUUCAUUAAAAAAUUGUUUUUUCUUAUGCAAAAACGUUAUGUCUCAUUUAAUAAUAAAAUUACUUUAUAUUUUUUUUCUAUUAUUUGUGAUAAAUGUUGAAGCAGACAUUGACUGGAGUCCUGUAAAGAAGGUUCUUGAUAGAAUAACGAGAUGGAAAAAUUCUACAAUGUGGCCAAGUCCAGAUGAAUCUUUUUGGUAAUAAAAUAUAAACAAUCUUGUAACACAUUUUAAAUAUAAUUUAUAAUGAAUACAAAGAAUAAAGUUUGAAGAAAAUUAAAAAAAUAAA